rnacentral:rRNA from 1 species
GACGAACGCUGGCGGCGUGCCUAACACAUGCAAGUCGAACGGCAAGGCCCUGCUUGCAGGGUGCUCGCGUGGCGAACGGGUGAGUAACACGUGGGUGAACUGCUCCUUACUUUGGGAUAAGCCUGGGAAACGGGGUCUAAUACUGGAUAGGACCAUGCUGUUGGUGGUGUGGUGGCAUGAUUAGUUUCGGUAAGGGAUGAGCUCGCGGCCGAUCAGCUUGUUGGUGGGGUAAUGGCCUACCAAGGCGUCGACGGGUAGCCGGCCUGAGAGGGAGGGCGGCCACAUUGAGACUGCGACACGGGGCAGAAGCCUGCAGGUGGCAGCAGUGGGGAAUAGUGCGCUAUAGGCGCGCGCCUUGUGCGGCGACGCCGCGCGGGUGGUGACGCCCUUCUGGUUGGAAAGUCCUCCCUGGCAUGACGAAGCCCGGGGGAUGACGGUAGUGGUAGAAGAAGCACCGGCUAACUACGUG